UACGAAGGGGGCUAGCGUUGCUCGGAAUCACUGGGCGUAAAGCGCACGUAGGCGGCUUCUUAAGUCAGGGGUGAAAUCCUGGAGCUCAACUCCAGAACUGCCUUUGAUACUGAGAAGCUUGAGUCCGGGAGAGGUGAGUGGAACUGCGAGUGUAGAGGUGAAAUUCGUAGAUAUUCGCAAGAACACCAGUGGCGAAGGCGGCUCACUGGCCCGGUACUGACGCUGAGGCGCGAAAGCCAGGGGAGCGAACGGG
rnacentral:rRNA from 1 species